AUAUUGGCGAGAGACCGAUAGCGAACAAGUACCGUGAGGGAAAGAUGAAAAGCACUUUGGAAAGAGAGUUAAACAGCACGUGAAAUUGUUAAAAGGGAAACGAUUGAAGUCAGUCGUGUGAAAGGUAUUCAGCCGUCUCUGGCGGUGUAUUUGCCUUUCACGGGUCAGCAUCAGUUUGAUCCGGUAGAAAAAGGCAGGAGGAAGGUGGCACCCUCGGGUGUGUUAUAGCCUCUUGUCAUAUGUGCCGGACCAGACUGAGGAACGCAGCUUGCCGCAAGGCCGGGGUUCGCCCACGUACAAGCUUAGGAUGUUGACAUAAUGGCUUUAAACGACCCGUCUUGAAACACGGACC
rnacentral:rRNA from 1 species